rnacentral:rRNA from 1 species
GACGAACCGUGCGAACGUUGUUCGGAAUCACUGGGCUUAAAGGGCGCGUAGGCGGUUGGUCAAGUCAGGGGUGAAAUCUUUCGGCUCAACCUGAAAACUGCCUUUGAUACUGACUGGCUGGAGGGAGAUAGGGGUUGCGGGAACUACCAGUGGAGCGGUGAAAUGCGUUGAUAUUGGUAGGAACGCCGGUGGCGAAAGCGCGCAACUGGAUCUCUUCUGACGCUGAGGCGCGAAAGCUAGGGGAGCAAACGGG